rnacentral:rRNA from 1 species
UACGUAGGCAGCGAGCGUUGUUCGGAGUUACUGGGCGUAAAGGGCUCGUAGGCGGCCAACUAAGUCAGACGUGAAAUCCCUCGGCUUAACCGGGGAACUGCGUCUGAUACUGGAUGGCUUGAGUUUGGGAGAGGGAUGCGGAAUUCCAGGUGUAGCGGUGAAAUGCGUAGAUAUCUGGAGGAAUACCGGUGGCGAAGGCGGCAUCCUGGACCGAUAUUGACACUGAGGAGCGAAAGCUAGGGGAGCAAACGGG